CAACCAUCAAGCCCCGGGCUUGUGUUGGGGCCCUGCGGCUGCCGCAGGCCCUGAAAACCAGUGGCGGGCUCGCUAGUCACUCCGAGCGUAGUAGUUUACACCUCGCUCAGGGCGUGCUGCGGGUUCCGGCCGUUAAAAGCCUUAUUUUACCCAA
rnacentral:misc_RNA from 1 species